GAUAAGGGAUGCGUUGAUGGUUCCAGCUCACGUAAACUUAUUAUCACGCUUUCUACUAUGAAAGUCUGAGAGUCCAUUACUUGCUUCCGCAGAAACAACUUUUUUUAAAUACGAGGAUUACACGAAAGCAGUGAAGCCAAAUAUGUACUCCAUGAGAACCAUCAAUCAGGAUGCCUGUUAAAAGUGGUGGAGUGUCCAAAUGCAGGAUGUCAAGAGAGGUUCGCCAAGCACGAUAAGAAUAAUAACAGUGAAUCUGAGUGUUCUUGGAGGAAAGUCAAUUCUAAAUACUGUGGAGAAUCAUACAUCGUGAGAAUCAAGCAGCGACAUCAUGGUGUCUGUCAAAAGUUCCCUGUUCAAUGCACAAACAGUUGUGCUCUGGGAGAAAUUCCACGAGAA